rnacentral:tRNA from 1 species
AGAGAUGGCUGAGUGGUCGAAAGCAGCACAUUGCUAAUGUGCCGAGUCGUGUACGCGGCUCCGAGGGUUCGAAUCCCUCUCUCUCCGUACCA